UUUAAACAAGCUCUCAAGUGCUCUUUUACUAAAAUUAACACUUCUAGCAUAUUGCAAAGAUAUCUACAUCACGGUACGUUUGUGCCAAUUAAUACAUAUUUACAAAAUUAGGUGCGACAAGCGCCGGCGCUAUGUCUGAAGAAUGUGAACAAUGUUGCGGUACCAUAUUCCUGUUAAUUAAGUACACUUAAAUGAACAAGCCGAAAGGUGUAGGUGUAGUAAUUCGACUUGUUAAUUUAACGGGCAAAUCGUGCUCGUACAUAAAUUAAAUUACUUUCAAGAAAGAGGGCGAAACAAAAUAAAUGUUAACGUGCUUAAGUAAUGGAUUUGGUGACAACAUAAACGUCACUACAAGUCUUACUGGAUCGGAUCAUAUAUCGGGAGGCAUUCCAAUUCCACUCGAGCAUUCUAUAUAGCUUGUACGGGAUGCACAGACACUCCUUAAUUAAUCUUCGAG